rnacentral:rRNA from 1 species
GAUGAACGCUGGCGGCGUGCCUAACACAUGCAAGUCGAACGGGGUUACACGAGUAGCAAUACUUGUGCAACCUAGUGGCGGACGGGUGAGUAACGCGUGAGCAACCUACCUUCCAGAGGGGGAUAACACAGGGAAACCUGUGCUAAUACCGCAUAAAGUACAGUGGGGGCAUCCCUGCAGUACCAAAGGAGCAAUCCGCUGGGAGAUGGGCUCGCGUCCGAUUAGGUAGUUGGUGGGGUAACGGCUCACCAAGCCGACGAUCGGUAGCCGGACUGAGAGGUUGGCCGGCCACAUUGGGACUGAGACACGGCCCAGACUCCUACGGGAGGCAGCAGUGGGGAAUAUUGGGCAAUGGGCGGAAGCCUGACCCAGCGACGCCGCGUGAGGGAAGACGGCCUCGGUUGUAACCUCAGUUAUACGGGACGAAGGAAGUAGACGGUACCGGUAACGAGAAAGACACGGCUAACUACGUGCCAGCAACCGCGGUAAAGUAACUCUAU